UUAAGUCUUGCAAGUCAUUUUUUCUCUUCCAACUCUUCAGCGCUCGUAGCCUAUGGUUCUUAUCAGAAGGAGCUCCUCUCUGUCCCUUUUGGUGACUACUACAAGUGCAAGUCCUUGAAUGCCUCCUUCUACCAAUUCGCUGUAAACCUGGCCAAUCCUUCGUUCCAGCCGUUUGUCCAAAAGACCAAGUCAGGAGACCUGGGCAAAGAAUACCUAUGUAAGAGUCCAUCCACAGGGGUCCGUACCAAUGUCAUCAUCGGAAUUGUCAUUGGAAUCAUCGUUCUUGCUGCUGCCAUUGCGGUGACGUAUUACGUGGUGAAACGCCGAGGAAAGCCUUCCGACCCUCCCUAUAGUAGGGUUCAGUGAGAUUCCUCCAAACUUACCAAUAUUUUCAAUGCAUACUAUCAAUCUGCCUCAAAGAAAAAGUCAUGUUGGGGUUAAAAAUUAUUUUAGUGGGUAUUUGGGCAUUUAAUUUCAAAUCAAUUUAAGCCCACUAAACCAAUCAUAAGUCUGGAAUUGAUUUUUUUAAGACCCUGUUCUCAAUUUAUUUUGUGUAAACUAGUUUACUGGAAAUUGGUUCAGAAAACUAGUUUGGAAGAUCACUUUGUCUUUGGUAGCAUUCCCAUUUGAAUCUGAAAGUGGUUUUCAUAAGCGCUUCAUGCAAAGGGAUUUUGCUGUUAUGGACACACUUUCAGUGGGGUGACAUGUUUCAUGCGAAAUUUGCAACCGCAGCGUAGACAUUCUGUACUCUGUGGAGUAUCGCGCUCAAAAGUGCGAAGAUUUCUUCCUGAAGAGCAAUUUUGUCCUCACGCUAAAAACUAGUUUAACGAGGCAAAGCAAUCUUUGUUCGUUUUUCAAACGGGUUUGAAAGAUCCCUUCAGCCGUUAUAUUUUCAUGUUAAACUAAUUUCCACUAUAAAACUAGUGUUACAUGUAGGACGAUAGUGACUAGACUAGCUUCCAGUAAACUAGUUUAAAUGUAAGAUGGUAACGAGAACGGGGUCUAAUAUAUAUCCUCAAAUAAACUUCUCAAAAAAAAUUCUGCAACUUCGAUUCGAGGGAUGGUAUCUUUUUUGUUACUGGACUAUGAAAUCGGAAACCGGUUACAGUAGAAACCCUCAUUGCUUCUCUUACGUUGAUGUACCAUCUACUGUGAUCAUAUAAUCAUGGAAUGUUACCAUGGAUUUAGGGCAAAGUCAGAAGUGAAAUGUUGCAAAAAAUACAUUUUUUUCUAAGAAAAACUUCUUUUCAAUCCCUUUCGAGUAUGCAUGUGUUUGGAAUAUUUCCCUUGUGAGUUGUGGUCAAGUGUUACUUGAAGUGAAAACAACAUGCAUUAUGAAUUGUAAAUGUUCAACAGGCAAUGAAACCAACCUCCCAAACUUGUUUGAUAUCUUUUAAUAAUACUUUUCAAAAUGAUGGGGUUGAUCAUAAUACCAAGCUUAUUCAAUGUAAUGAAAUGAGAUCACACCAUACAUGUAUGUGGUCUUUCACACAUCAGCAAAUCAACAUCAUCCAAAUUCCCUCCAUCCUCAAAAACAACAAAUUUUGUGUUAUUUCAUUUUUAAAAUCAGGUUACUCCAUAAUUGUAUUUGUAUAACAAAUACUGCAUCGUUGUAAAGAGUGAUAAUGUGGUUCCGAAUGCCACCACAUUCACAUACAUGUACAUGAUAAUUGAGCAAUACAAACUUUAUUACCUUUAAACUUGACUUGUAGUCAUGGUCGUAUGCAAAAUUUGAUACCAUUUUUCUCCAAUGAUUUUCUACUAGUAGUAUGCAAUUUUAAAUGUUCAUAACAUUUAUUUUGAUUUUUUUUCCAGCCAACCUUUCACUGUACAAUUUGCUUAAUUCUCUUCCUGUUCAUUUUGUUCAAAGUUUUAAAAAUGGAGAUAGACUCUUCACGAAAUUAAAUUGCCAAGUUUGAUUGUUGUAAAAUUGUAUAUUGAUUCUUAACAGCUUUUUAUCAGGUUGUUAAAUGAAAUCACAGAAUCUUCACCAUUUUUGUUAGUUUUAAUUUCUCUCCAUAUUACCGCCAUUUUGCUAUUCUAUAUCGGGUUUCUGGCUGCCUUUUUUCUCUUUUCUCACAGCAACUUUCUUUUUUAUCUUUAUGUCUUGUGGGUAACAUUUUUUGUCACAUAUUUCCCUUGCCAUCUCGUUAUUUGUCUCAUAAUCGCUUCUUUAACAUGCUGAUACUUCUACAAUGUAUUUCUCUCAAUAUUUUCAUCCAUGCUUGUCAUAUAUUAUACAUUUUAAAAUUACUUGCAAUUUUGUUUGUUUUAGGUUUAAUAACGUCUUUCUAGACUUAAACUGAAAAAUUACAGUGCUUAUUCUUGUACUUGUGUACAUGAAGCUAAAAAAAAAUUGUAACAGGAACUUUAUUAACAGAGUGUUUUAUUUUGUUCAUUCUUUAGUUUGUUGAUUCAUUACACAAUUCUCUUGCUUUUAUAGACUUGUUUAUGCAGAAAUGAUUUAUGAAUCAUUUUAAGAAAUAUAGAUUACAUUGUAUAUGUUUUGCAUGUACAGUUUUGAUUUUGUACGAUCUGUGUGCCUUGAUGUGGGGAUAAUAACACUCAGUCUUUCUCAAUCUUGUCUCUUUCUUGUCUUGUGAUAUUUUGUGAAAAUGUAAGAAAAAGAUGUAAAUAUAAUUCUACGCAUGGAUGCUAAUGUAAUCAUCAAAUAUUAUCAUGCCUUAUACCUUAAUAUUAUCGUGCCUAGGAUUGAAUUGAAUUUGCCAUUUUUACUUCAAGUUCACUCAUACAUGUAGGUGACUGUGUCAAGGUUCCAUAUACAAUAGGUAUUGUAAUUCGUGCGAUUCAUUAUAUAUACGCAGUGUUGUGCCGUUACGACAAUCACCCAUCGGCUUUAAUCCUGUGAGAUUGGUCGGCCACAGCAUACUCAACGCGAUGCAUCAAUCACUGUGUUUAUCCAUGUUUAAAUCACUACAAUUUUCGUGGAGCUCCUAUAUUUCUACUGAUCAAUCCUUAUUCUUUCCUUGGGUGGGAUUUGUCAUGGAGUGAAAUAUUGUUUUCAUCUUUAGAUUAUCACUAGUAGCACAGGCUAUCUUGUAUAUAUCUUACAAUAAGAAUGGUUGACCUGCAAGCCUCGUUUGAUAAUGAAUGAACUUUGGUGGUGGUGCAUGAAUUAUUAAAUGCUUAAAUUCAGAGCCAUGUUUGUUGUAGAGUUAGGCUGAUGUUGGGUAGAUUUUUUUUAUCUUACUUGCAAAGCAAGACAUAACUGGCCAUACUUUAUACGCAGUUUAAAUCAGGUUCAUUUCCACAAAACAAACUGCUGAAUAUUUCAUAUGUUGUGCAUGUUCAGUUCAUUUAUUUUCCAUUAAAAAAUGGGCAAAACAGAAUAAUACACAUUUAUGGAUACAAAUCUGAAGGACCUCAAGAGAAGCAGAUUUUGAAGGAUGGACCCUGGUUGAAAAUAAGCAAAAAAGAUCAAUUUUAUGCAUCAAUCACUGUGUUUAUCCAUGUUUAAAUCACUACAAUUUUCUUGGAGCUCCUAUAUUUCUACUGAUCAAUCCUUAUUCUUUCCUUGGGUGGGAUUUGUCAUGGAGUGAAAUAUUGUUUUCAUCUUUAGAUUAUCACUAGUAGCACAGGCUAUCUUGUAUAUAUCUUACAAUAAGAAUGGUUGACCUGCAAGCCUCGUUUGAUAAUGAAUGAACUUUGGUGGUGGUGCAUGAAUUAUUAAAUGCUUAAAUUCAGAGCCAUGUUUGUUGUACAGUUAGGCCGAUGUAGGGUAGAUUUUUUUAUCUUACUUGCAAAGCAAGACAUAAUUGGCCAUACCUUAAAAGCAGUUUAAAUCAGGUUCAUUUCCACAAAACAAACUGCUGAAUAUUUCAUAUGUUGUGCAUGUUCAGUUCAUUUAUUUUCCAUUAAAAAAUGGGCAAAACAGAAUAAUACAAAUUUAUGGAUAAAAAUCUGAAGGACAUCAAGAAAAGCAGAUUUUGAAGGAUGGACCCUGGUUGAAAAUAAGCAAAAAAAGAUCAAUUUUAAAUAAUUGCUCAUAAGACUGGAGAUGAUAUUUGAGAAUACAUAUUUGGAGUUGAGCCAGUUGUGGGUUAGAUUGAUUACUGCCGGGUAUUAGCCAUACUAACCUAGUCUUACCCUGGUUCCUGUUUUAUUGAUCUAAUCAAAGCAUAAAUUUGGUGAACAUCUCAUUAAAAGAAACCCUCCAAAUUACUGAACAUAUUUCAUAGGAUAUCCACAUUGUUUGUAAGAAUAGAGAUUA